rnacentral:rRNA from 1 species
AAUAUUGGACAAUGGGCGAAAGCCUGAUCUAGCCAUGCCGCGUGUGUGAAGAAGGUCUUCGGAUUAUAAAGUACUUUAAGUUGGGAGGAAGGUCAGUAAGUUAAUACCUUGCUGAUUUGACGUUACCGACAGAAUAAGCACCGACUAACACCCUGCCAGCAACCGCGGUAAUACGAAGGGUGCAAGCGUUAUUCGGAAUUACCUGGCGUAAAGCGCACGUAGGUGGUUCGUUAAGUUGGAUGUGAAAGCCCCGGGCUCAACCUGGGAACUGCAUCCAAAACUGGCGAGCUAGAGUACGGUAGAGGGUGGUGGAAUUUCCUGUGUAGCGGUGAAAUGCGUAGAUAUAGGAAGGAACACCAGUGGCGAAGGCGACCACCUGGACUGAUACUGACACUGAGGUGCGAAAGCGUGGGGAGCAAACAGG